AUUGAACGCUGGCGGCAGGCCUAACACAUGCAAGUCGAGCGAGCGGCGGACGGGUGAGUAAUGUAUGGGGACUGUUCGAGAGAGGGGGAUAACUACUGGAAACGGUGGCGAAUACCGCAUACUAACGGCUAAUCCAUAGGGGGUUAGCUCGUAGGUGUGGUAAUGGCUCACCUAGGCGACGAUCCCUAGCUGGUCUGAGAGGAUGAUCAGCCACACUGGGACUGAGACACGGUCCAGACUCCUACGGAGGCAGCAGUGGGGAAUAUUGCACAAUGGGCGCAAGCCUGAUGCAGCCAUGCCGCGUGUAUGAAGAAGGCCUUAGGGUUGUAAAGUACUUUCAGUCGGGAGGCGUUACCGACAGAAGAAGCACCGGCUAACUCCGUGCCAGCAGCCGCGGUAAUAC
rnacentral:rRNA from 1 species